CUCCGCUUGGUGUAGUUGGUUUAUCACGUCGGGCUGUAAUUGAACAUCACAUCAUACCUGAAGGUCCGCGGUUCGAUUCCGCGAGCGGAGA